AUUGCUUCUUGGCCUUUUGGCUAAGAUCAAGUGUAGUAUAGAUGAGGAAAAGCAUAGAAGAGGUAUGUGGCCUCCUCGAUAAGAUGGAAUUUUUUGAACAGGGGACCUAGAGUGGGGCCUCAGGCCAACUGCUUUUCCAAAACUGGCUUCUUCACGCCACUCUCU
rnacentral:snRNA from 1 species